rnacentral:rRNA from 1 species
UACGAAGGGGGCUAGCGUUGCUCGGAAUCACUGGGCGUAAAGGGUGCGUAGGCGGGUCUUUAAGUCAGGGGUGAAAUCCUGGAGCUCAACUCCAGAACUGCCUUUGAUACUGAAGAUCUUGAGUCCGGGAGAGGUGAGUGGAACUGCGAGUGUAGAGGUGAAAUUCGUAGAUAUUCGCAAGAACACCAGUGGCGAAAGCGACUUCCUGGUCGAAUACUGACGUUCAUGUGCGAAAGCGUGGGGAGCAAACAGG